UCUCUAGUAGCCCAUCGGUUAGUACAGGCGCCUGUAAUGUUGUCGAUAAUUUCGCGCGUAAAAGCUGGGUUCGAUUCCCAGCCAGAGAG